GACGAACCGUGCGAACGUUGUUCGGAAUCACUGGGCUUAAAGGGCGCGUAGGCGGGUCGGAAAGUCCGCGGUGAAAUCCCCCCGCUCAACGGGGGAACGGCCGCGGAUACUGCCGGCCUCGAGGGGGGUAGGGGCGAGCGGAACGCUGGGUGGAGCGGUGAAAUGCGUUGAUAUCCAGCGGAACUCCGGUGGCGAAGGCGGCUCGCUGGACCCCCACUGACGCUGAGGCGCGAAAGCUAGGGUAGCAAACGGG
rnacentral:rRNA from 1 species